rnacentral:rRNA from 1 species
AGUUCGGAUUGUAGGCUGCAACUCGCCUACAUGAAGUCGGAAUUGCUAGUAAUCGCGGAUCAGCAUGCCGCGGUGAAUACGUUCCCGGGCCUUGUACACACCGCCCGUCACACCAUGGGAGUCGGUAACACCCGAAGCCUGUAGUCUAACCGCAAGGAGGACGCAGUCGAAGGUGGGAUUGAUGACUGGGGUGAAGUCGUAACAAGGUACC